rnacentral:scRNA from 1 species
ACCUGAUGCUGCCCCUGCGGUCUGCCGUGCGCGG